UCUGUUCCCGUCCUUUGUUCUCUUACCUUGCGGUUAUGGUUUUCCUGUACUUUGUAGUUCUCUGCUAGUCUUGUAUAAAUCCAUGUUUUGCUGGUAAAAUAAUUGUUAGUUUUAUUUUUAAGGUUAACGGUAGUUGGUGAUCAGAGGUGGGAUACAGAGAAGACCCCCGACGGAUUCUGGGCCUGGUGAGUAACCAGGUGCUGGUACUCACGCUCACUACUUUCUUGCUGGCCCUGGGGUUUGAGGGAGAUGAUGACCUUAAGCCAUAAGGAGAUUUCAUCUAUUGGAAAAGACCUCUCCAGAAAGACUCUUCAGCCUCUCUGGGAAGGCCUCAUGAGGAACUGCUAACCAGUCUUUGUGCCACCAAACUCCAGGGAACAGACUCUUGGAUUCACACGAGGCAUCUAAAGAUAGUAUUGAACCCGACCCGCAUGCCAUCUGGUGACCUGAAAGUAAAGACUUCCUGGAAUUGAAGCAGGUGACAUCUGCUAAGAUGGCUUUCCUGAGAUGUUCAGACCAGGAACUCUGGAACACACAAGCGACUGUUGACACCUGAUUUCUCUUUGGCAGAUGACCAGAUAGAUUCAGCAUUAACAAUGUGCAGAAUAUGCCAAAUGUGGGGGAAAUGACAAAUGUGCCAGAUGAUUUAAUAUCGAAUAAAGAUAAAGUGAUGCAUGUCACCUUCCUGCAAGGCAACCAGUUUGCAGAUCUGGCCAGAGGGAAAAUUACUGGGCAACAGAAUGAAAAGGAGGCAUAAGUCAGCCCAGCUCUCUGAACCCUAGAAAAGGCAACUUCCCUCCAGCUCAUGAAAGAGGACGAUUGUGCUCAGUACCACUUAUCCGGUGCCAACAAUCUGAUUAAAAAAUAAGAUAAGCCCUCUGGGCAAUGUGCACAGAAAAAAUAGCUAUACCCCUGAUCAGAAGGUUCCAAAGUCUAGAAUUGAGCUCGUUGUUGUGCCCAACAGAAAAGGAAAGAAGAAAAUCAAGGAGCGAAAAGAAGACAUUUCUGGAGAAGGUGCUGGUGAGGAAUCAGCUAAGAUUGUUACCACUGAGAACUAGCACAGCAGUAACCACCAUUCACUCCAGUGACCCCUGGUGUGUCUCUUGUGCUUGUAGAAGUGGGACAGCUGGAUAUAAGCAACCAGAUACUCUGCAUCAGAAAUGAGUCUGCUCGUGAAUUCUUAGAAGAAAAUCAAAGAGGAUGCAGCAGCGUCUUCCUUCCCUGUUUUGAGAUGCUUGGUAGACUAGGAUCCCAAGUGUGUGAAGAAAGUCCACACCCUCAUCGAGGACCACUCAAACUAGAGCAAAUUCAAAGAAAAUACUUCAGGCACUAGAUCCUGGCUUUAUCCAACUUUAGAAGGCUGAAGAGACAAGUACACCAACCAAGACAGGGAUAACAAGAAAUGGCUGUUCCAGGAAGAAGCAAGACACAGGGUCUCAACUCGCACAAAGACAGAGCACAAUUGCACAGAAAAUCACCA